AAUGCUAUGCUUUGUAGAUGUGGUCAUGUGGGAAUAAUUCUAUGCUUUGUAGAUGUGGUCACGUGGGAAUAAUGCUAUGCUUUGUAGAUGUGGUCACGUGGGAAUAAUGCUAUGCUUUGUAGAUGUGGUCACGUGGGAAUAAUGCUAUGCUUUGUAGAUAUGGUCACGUGGGAAUAAUGCUAUGCUUUGUAGAUGUGGUCACGUGAAGGUAAUAACAUGUCAUAUUGAUGGGUGGUUGUGGUAGUGAAGGUAAUAACAUGUCAUAUUGAUGGGUGGUUGUGGUAGUGAAGGUAAUAACAUGUCAUAUUGAUGGGUGGUUGUGGUAAUGAAGGUAAUAACAUGUCAUAUUGAUGGGUGGUUGUGGUAAUGAAGGUAAUAACAUGUCAUAUUGAUGGGUGGUUGUGGUAAUGAAGGUAAUAACAUGUCAUAUUGAUGGGUGGUUGUGGUAGUGAAGGUAAUAACAUGUCAUAUUGAUGGGUGGUUGUGGUAGUGAAGGUAAUAACAUGUCAUAUUGAUGGGUGGUUGUGGUAAUGAAGGUAAUAACAUGUCAUAUUGAUGGGUGGUUGUGGUAAUGAAGGUAAUAACAUGUCAUAUUGAUGGGUGGUUGUGGUAAUGAAGGUAAUAACAUGUCAUAUUGAUGGGUGGUUGUGGUAAUGAAGGUAAUAACAUGUCAUAUUGAUGGGUGGUUGUGGUAGUGAAGGUAAUAACAUGUCAUAUUGAUGGGUGGUUGUGGUAAUGAAGGUAAUAACAUGUCAUAUUGAUGGGUGGUUGUGGUAGUGAAGGUAAUAACAUGUCAUAUUGAUGGGUGGUUGUGGUAGUGAAGGUAAUAACAUAUCAUAUUGAUGGCUGGUUGUGGUAGUGAAGGUAAUACCAUGUCAUAUUGAUGGGUGGUUGUGGUAAUGAAGGUAAUAACAUGUCAUAUUGAUGGGUGGUUGUGGUAAUGAAGGUAAUAACAUGUCAUAUUGAUGGGUGGUUGUGGUAAUGAGCUAAUAACAUGUCAUAUUGAUGGAUGGUUGUGGUAAUGAAGGUAAUAACAUGUCAUAUUGAUGGGUGGUUGUGGUAAUGAAGGUAAUAACAUGUCAUAUUGAUGGGUGGUUGUGGUAAUGAAGGUAAUAACAUGUCAUAUUGAUGGGUGGUUGUGGUAGUGAAGGUAAUAACAUGUCAUAUUGAUGGGUGGUUGUGGUAGUGAAGGUAAUAACAUGUCAUAUUGAUGGGUGGUUGUGGUAGUGAAGGUAAUAACAUGUCAUAUUGAUGGGUGGUUGUGGUAAUGAAGGUAAUAACAUGUCAUAUUGAUGGGUGGUUGUGGUAAUGAAGGUAAUAACAUGUCAUAUUGAUGGGUGGUUGUGGUAAUGAAGGUAAUAACAUGUCAUAUUGAUGGGUGGUUGUGGUAGUGAAGGUAAUAACAUGUCAUAUUGAUGGGUGGUUGUGGUAGUGAAGGUAAUAACAUGUCAUAUUGAUGGGUGGUUGUGGUAAUGAAGGUAAUAACAUGUCAUAUUGAUGGGUGGUUGUGGUAGUGAAGGUAAUAACAUGUCAUAUUGAUGGGUGGUUGUGGUAGUGAAGGUAAUAACAUGUCAUAUUGAUGGGUGGUUGUGGUAAUGAAGGUAAUAACAUGUCAUAUUGAUGGGUGGUUGUGGUAGUGAAGGUAAUAACAUGUCAUAUUGAUGGGUGGUUGUGGUAAUGAAGGUAAUAACAUGUCAUAUUGAUGGGUGGUUGUGGUAAUGAAGGUAAUAACAUGUCAUAUUGAUGGGUGGUUGUGGUAGUGAAGGUAAUAACAUGUCAUAUUGAUGGGUGGUUGUGGUAAUGAAGGUAAUAACAUGUCAUAUUGAUGGGUGGUUGUGGUAAUGAAGGUAAUAACAUGUCAUAUUGAUGGGUGGUUGUGGUAAUGAAGGUAAUAACAUGUCAUAUUGAUGGGUGGUUGUGGUAAUGAAGGUAAUAACAUGUCAUAUUGAUGGGUGGUUGUGGUAAUGAAGGUAAUAACAUGUCAUAUUGAUGGGUGGUUGUGGUAAUGAAGGUAAUAACAUGUCAUAUUGAUGGGUGGUUGUGGUAGUGAAGGUAAUAUCAUGUCAUAUUGAUGGGUGGUUGUGGUAAUGAAGGUAAUAACAUGUCAUAUUGAUGGGUGGUUGUGGUAAUGAAAGUAAUAACAUGUCAUAUUGAUGGGUGGUUGUGGUAGUGAAGGUAAUAACAUGUCAUAUUGAUGGGUGGUUGUGGUAGUGAAGGUAAUAACAUGUCAUAUUGAUGGGUGGUUGUGGUAAUGAAGGUAAUAACAUGUCAUAUUGAUGGGUGGUUGUGGUAGUGAAGGUAAUAACAUGUCAUAUUGAUGGGUGGUUGUGGUAAUGAAGGUAAUAACAUGUCAUAUUGAUGGGUGGUUGUGGUAAUGAAGGUAAUAACAUGUCAUAUUGAUGGGUGGUUGUGGUAAUGAGGUAAUAACAUGUCAUAUUGAUGGGUGGUUGUGGUAAUGAAGGUAAUAACAUGUCAUAUUGAUGGGUGGUUGUGGUAAUGAAGGUAAUAACAUGUCAUAUUGAUGGGUGGUUGUGGUAAUGAAGGUAAUAACAUGUCAUAUUGAUGGGUGGUUGUGGUAGUGAAGGUAAUAACAUGUCAUAUUGAUGGGUGGUUGUGGUAGUGAAGGUAAUAACAUGUCAUAUUGAUGGGUGGUUGUGGCAAUGAAGGUAAUAACAUGUCAUAUUGAUGGGUGGUUGUGGUAGUGAAGGUAAUAACAUGUCAUAUUGAUGGGUGGUUGUGGUAAUGAAGGUAAUAACAUGUCAUAUUGAUGGGUGGUUGUGGUAGUGAAGGUAAUAACAUGUCAUAUUGAUGGGUAGUUGUGGUAAUGAAGGUAAUAACAUGUCAUAUUGAUGGGUGGUUGUGGUAAUGAAGGUAAUAACAUGUCAUAUUGAUGGGUGGUUGUGGUAAUGAAGGUAAUAACAUGUCAUAUUGAUGGGUGGUUGUGGUAGUGAAGGUAAUAACAUGUCAUAUUGAUGGGUGGUUGUGGUAGUGAAGGUAAUAACAUGUCAUAUUGAUGGGUGGUUGUGGCAAUGAAGGUAUUUACAUGUCAUAUUGAUGGGUGGUUGUGGUAGUGAAGGUAAUAACAUGUCAUAUUGAUGGGUGGUUGUGGUAAUGAAGGUAAUAACAUGUCAUAUUGAUGGGUGGUUGUGGUAGUGAAGGUAAUAACAUGUCAUAUUGAUGGGUAGUUGUGGUAAUGAAGGUAAUAACAUGUCAUAUUGAUGGGUGGUUGUGGUAAUGAAGGUAAUAACAUGUCAUAUUGAUGGGUGGUUGUGGUAAUGAAGGUAAUAACAUGUCAUAUUGAUGGGUGGUUGUGGUAGUGAAGGUAAUAACAUGUCAUAUUGAUGGGUGGUUGUGGUAGUGAAGGUAAUAACAUGUCAUAUUGAUGGGUGGUUGUGGCAAUGAAGGUAAUAACAUGUCAUAUUGAUGGGUGGUUGUGGUAGUGAAGGUAAUAACAUGUCAUAUUGAUGGGUGGUUGUGGUAGUGAAGGUAAUAACAUGUCAUAUUGAUGGGUGGUUGUGGUAGUGAAGGUAAUAACAUGUCAUAUUGAUGGGUGGUUGUGGCAAUGAAGGUAUUUACAUGUCAUAUUGAUGGGUGGUUGUGGUAGUGAAGGUAAUAACAUGUCAUAUUGAUGGGUGGUUGUGGUAAUGAAGGUAAUAACAUGUCAUAUUGAUGGGUGGUUGUGGUAGUGAAGGUAAUAACAUGUCAUAUUGAUGGGUGGUUGUGGUAAUGAAGGUAAUAACAUGUCAUAUUGAUGGGUGGUUGUGGUAAUGAAGGUAAUAACAUGUCAUAUUGAUGGGUGGUUGUGGUAAUGAAGGUAAUAACAUGUCAUAUUGAUGGGUGGUUGUGGUAGUGAAGGUAAUAACAUGUCAUAUUGAUGGGUGGUUGUGGUAGUGAAGGUAAUAACAUGUCAUAUUGAUGGGUGGUUGUGGCAAUGAAGGUAAUAACAUGUCAUAUUGAUGGGUGGUUGUGGUAGUGAAGGUAAUAACAUGUCAUAUUGAUGGGUAGUUGUGGUAAUGAAGGUAAUAACAUGUCAUAUUGAUGGGUGGUUGUGGUAAUGAAGGUAAUAACAUGUCAUAUUGAUGGGUGGUUGUGGUAAUGAAGGUAAUAACAUGUCAUAUUGAUGGGUGGUUGUGGUA